rnacentral:rRNA from 1 species
UACAGAGGGGGCAAGCGUUGUUCGGAAUUACUGGGCGUAAAGGGCGCGUAGGCGGCCUGUUAAGUCGAACGUGAAAUCCCCGGGCUCAACCCGGGAACUGCGUCCGAUACUGGCAGGCUUGAAUCCGGGAGAGGGAUGUGGAAUUCCAGGUGUAGCGGUGAAAUGCGUAGAUAUCUGGAGGAACACCGGUGGCGAAGGCGACAUCCUGGACCGGUAUUGACGCUGAGGCGCGAAAGCCAGGGGAGCGAACGGG